rnacentral:rRNA from 2 species
CGGCGGCCAUGGCCCAGGAGAGACGCCCGGUCCCAUUCCGAACCCGGAAGCUAAGGCCUGGCACGGCGAUGGUACUGCACCCGACAGGGUGUGGGAGAGUAGCACGCCGCCGCAUC